rnacentral:lncRNA from 10 species
GGAGCUCACUUUUUAAAUGGCAGAAGGUCAAGUAAACCAUUAAUGAUACAGGACAUGGCAAUCCAUGCUCUGAUCCUAGGAGCACAGCAUAUUCUAGAAACCCAAGUGGGGCUCUUAGAUUGAGGGGUCAGGGUAAACUUCCUGAAGGAAUAAUUAAUUCUUGAGAUAAUUGCUGCAAGUCACUGAAAAUCGUGUUAGAGAUGAUGGUUGUCAAUCAGAUAUGAAUCAACAUGCCAGAGUAAUCAGCUGCAGGAGCUUGAUGUGGACUGGCUGGAUGACAUUGGACUCUUUAGUAUGGUUAUUUGGAUGAUGGUUUUGAUUCGGAGAGUCAAAAGCCAUGGUAUGUGAGGGAAAAGACCUUCAGGCCUCUCAAAAAAAGUGUCAAAGAACUGAAGCUCACCAGAUUACCACAGCCAGGCAAUGAGAUGCCAAACCCCUCAUUUAUCAUGAUUGCUUCUCCUUGGUUCCUGGUUUUUUUUUUUCACACAUUGUUACAUUUCUUGCCUGUAAUGUAAACCUCUAGUUUUAAUUGGUCAGGGAGAUAGAUUUCAGACUGAUCUCCUAUCUCCUUGGCUGCAGCACCUG